AGCCCGGUUACUGUUACUACUGUGCAUAAGGGACCGAAAGGACAGUUUUGUACUCACUUUAUCUUUUUUUACGGCUCUGCCAUUAGCAUCUGAAACGAUGAAAGGAUGCUUUUUCCCUUGAUUUUUCCUUGCAAUUACAGGCUUCAAUUCUUCUAUAAUCUUCUACAAUUUUCUGAUUCGAUUGAGAGAGUGUGUUUUGCCUUUUUGGCUCGCCAUUUUGCCUGGUUUUUUAAUCUGUUUGGGAAGCCUCUCUUGAACGCAGUUAUCAAGUGUAGUUUGGACGUAAUUUCCAAGGAAAAAAAAAAAACACAGCCAUCAAACCCAGAUAUCCGUCUUCGUGGAAGGUUGGGUUGAAAACAAAUAGGAAAGAUCGUUGGGAUAGGAAAAAGAAGAGGAGAGAUCCAAGAUUUUGGUUGAUUUUCGGAGAGGGUUUGGGUUUGUUUCGGAAGAGGUUGCUGCUAAGAUUUUGAUAAAGUUUGGGAGAAAGCUUUCAGCAGAAGAAGAGUGCUGCCAGUUCUUCUGCCAGCAAGGUGCAUUCGGCUCUUUUUAGGUAGGGGAUUCAUGAUAGGAGUGAACAGUUGCCAUAAAGGCGACAAAGUUGAAGAUCUUGGAAAUGAGGCUAGCUGAUGGAGGGCUGACCUUGGACAAGCUUAUGUGCUUUGCUUGCAUUUUCGACAUGUUGGAGGUUUGGAACAAUUCAGCUAAGAGUAAUGGGUGACUUUCUGUAAUUGAGGCUUGCACGAGCAAAGCUUUCUGCUCCAAAAAAGGACUGCACACAGGACUCCAUCCACUUCAAACAAAAAAGCUUAGUGCUAUACAUUUAUACUUCUACAUAUCAAGCAUAUAAUAUUUAACCAAUUGCUUAAUCAAUGUCUGUCCAAGCAUUGCUCCGUGCCCCAACCUCUUCUUACAAGCAAGAGCUAAUGCUAAACUCAAGCGUGCAUGUAUAUAUUUUGGCAUCCAUCGGCAAUCUCCAUCCGGGGAUUAAUUAUAUACUUACCAAUGCCUACGUAUGCUAUAUAACGACUCUAACUCGGCAUUGCCACUCUGCAUCUCCACUAUCGGUAUCACUCAUCUCUCUCAAAGUAUGGCUCUCGGUAUCGCACAUCUCUCUCUCAGUAUCGCUCUCAGUAUCGCUCAUCACUGUUAUACUUCUUCUCGGUAUCACUCAUGGUUUCGGAUUCGUUGUGUUCCUCUGCACUCCAGAACGAUAUUUUACAUUCAGACAAGUCCCUUGUCUUGAUUAUGCUUCAAUUAAUCCCUUCAGAUUUAUGAACGUUCAACAUGCUUCCCAUGCCAUAACUAUACUUGCUUUCAAUUAUACUAGCUAUAUGCAAAGCAACAUGUAUAUGAGAGUGAUCACUCUUUAGGGGCAUGCUUACGACAAAGCUAUAGCUCAUGCUUAUUAUCAUCUUAGGGAAUACACAUGUCAAGCAUGGCACAAGGCCACUACAUGCAAAACCACACGUGCAUGACAAAUGUACUUAGCUGCUUAUGCCAUGGCUCUUCCAAUUGUCAUAACCAUACUGGUUACCAGGAUCUCAUGCAUACCUGCGUCCUCACAAAUACAAGCUUUGGCCCAGCUUUUCUUUUGGGCAAGUUUAUUCUCGCAAGGAUUAUUAAUGCCUCAACUUAUGUGCCAUAUGUAUACGCGCAAUUACUCGAAGUAGUACAAUCUUUGUCUCAGUAUAUUGCCAUGCAUAUAUGCAUAUGGCAGUAGCAAUCAAGCAUAUAUCUUAGUCUUCCAGCAAGAAUUAA